ensembl:lncRNA
GCAAGUUCUCUCUUUUUGAGAGCUCUUUUUCGAGUCUUAGAGUCAGUUGGAAAAGUAUAGCAGAAAGAAGGCUAGAAGGCUUAUUGGGCUCCUAGCUAGGCUUGUUCCUAGCUUAGCCGGGCUUUGCUUGCCUUUAUGCCGCAGUGCAGAAGGAAGCUCAGCAAGUCGUAACAUAAACAAGCUGAAAAGAGUAUGUAAUGUUCACUCUGCAGAGAUGUACCUCAUAAAAGAAGCCAGGCUUUCGGUGAAAGGAACCAAGGCUUCUUUAUUACUGUAUACUGAACAUUUUUCUUUAUGAGAUGAUUUAGCAUGGUUGGAGUGAGAGAUCAAAACUCUUCUGCUUUUGUUUUUGAGUCCUGAUAAGUUUCUGCUGGUUCUAGGGUCUAAGGUCCGCUGAAACCCUUUUUUCUGACUAGAUUGUGUUUUGCCGAUAUACCUCAUUGCUCCGGUCCAGUCAGGACCCCUGAGGGGCUUAUAGUUAUAGCUCAGGAUCCCCGAGACCCCUGCGGACACUCAGUCUGGUCCCUGGUCUAUACUGGAACUGGUCUAGUCUGGUCACUGGUCUAGACUGGAAUUGGUCUUGCUCUGGACCUGGUCUAUAAUCUAUGUGGUCUAAGCUGGACCUGGUCAUGUCCUGGAUCUGGUCUAAACUGGACCUGGUCUGGACUUGACCUCACGCACACUCCAAACAAAGGCUUUUAUUUAAAUACCCUUAUGGACCUAAUUUCCCCCCCAUUGCUACUGUUUACAGUUUGACAAGAAGUUUUAUAAUUAAAACAAAUAUUUUUCUCAUAUUAUACUAUUAUUUAUGUACCUUUUUUUUAUACCUUGUAUGUUGGACUUUUAAUGUAGUCUUCUAUGAUUGAUAUCUGUGAUAAUGAGCGCCGAAAAGAAUCACAGUAAUUGGUUUUAGUUUUGAUUUUUGCACUAUUUGUUUAGAUUUUUUUCUCUUUCUCUUCCUGUUUUAAGAACAGAUUUUCUGAUUUGACUGAUGAUUAAUAAAGAUUCCCGAUGUCUGUGAUUUUUGACAAAAAAAGAAAAGCAUUUGAUUUUUCUGUGAUCUGUUUUUGUUAUGUUUAUUUUGCAUUGUUGGCUACGCUGAUUAGAUCUGUCUUUGUGCAUGUGUAAAAUAUUUGAUUGGUUAUGUUUUAUUGAAUUAGGAAAAAAAUGCCAUCUUUUGCCUCACAUUUCAGCUGUAAUGUUGUGUAAGGUAGUAUUCACUGGAUGCUAGAACCUUCUUUUCAAAACCACUAUUCUUCUAAUAAAUUUUGUUGUGAAAAUAAAUGUGGUUCUUUUUGUACUUUAGUCUAUUUUGAUAAAGGAAAGAGAGAUCAUUGAAUAGAGAGUGAUGUCCUAAAUGUGAAAGCAGUAUAAUAAGGCAAAAAAUUGCAAUAAAAACGUGCAAUAAUAAUAUAUAUACAGGCUAUGUAUAUAUAUUUGAAUCCUCAUAAAUUCAAGCAAUAGAGAUAUGCAAAGGAGAUGGUGUACUGAGAAUUACAUUUAAAUUAACCACAUUCAGCGCGUGAAAUUUGUCCUCGAAACACAGGCAUAAUAUAUAACUAUAUAACAAAU